AUACGAAGGGGGCAAGCGUUGUUCGAAAUAACGGGGCGUAAAGCGCACGUAGGCGGAAUGUUAAGUUAGAGGUGAAAUCCCAGGGCUCAACCCUGGAACUGCCUUUAAUACUGGCAAUCUAGAGACCGAGAGAGGUGAGUGGAAUUCCGAGUGUAGAGGUGAAAUUCGUAGAUAUUCGGAGGAACACCAGCGGCGAAGGCGGCUCACUGGCUCGGUACUGACGCUGAGGUGCGAAAGCGUGGGGAGCAAACAGGAUUAGAAACCCUAGUAGUCC
rnacentral:rRNA from 1 species